UACGGGGGAGCAAGCGUUGUUCGGAUUUACUGGCGUAAAGGGCGCGUAGGCGGUCGUGACAAGUCACUUGUGAAAUCUCCGGGCUUAACUCGGAACGGUCAAGUGAUACUGUCGGACUAGAGUACAGAAGGGGCAACUGGAAUUCUCGGUGUAGCGGUGAAAUGCGUAGAUAUCGAGAGGAACACCUGCGGCGAAGGCGGGUUGCUGGGCUGAUACUGACGCUGAGGCGCGAAAGCCAGGGAGCGAACGGG
rnacentral:rRNA from 1 species